AAGUCGUACGGAGAGUGGGGCAACUCACUCUCAGUGGCAAACGGGUGAGUAACGCGUGAAUAACCUGCCUUUGAGAAGGGGAUAACUGUCCGAAAGGAUAGCUAAUACCCUAUAUUGCCUUUUGUCACUAAGGCAAAAGGUGAAAGCAAGGCUGUCAAAGGCUUAGGCUCAAAGAGGGGUUCGCGUCCUAUCAGGUAGUUGGUGGGGUAAUGGCCUACCAAGCCAAUGACGGGUAGCUGGUCUUAGAGGAUGAUCAGCCACAGUGGGACUGAGACACGGCCCGCACCCCUACGGGGGGCAGCAGUGGGGAAUCGUGGGCAAUGGGCGCAAGCCUGACCCCGCAAUGCCGCGUGAGGGAAGAAGCCCUUCGGGGUGUAAACCUCUGUCAGAUGGGAAGAU
rnacentral:rRNA from 1 species